GACAGGGUCCUCAUUUCAGAGGCAGAGCCUUGAGAUUUGAAGCUUGGAAGCGAAGCGUGCUGGUCACCGGAAGCAUUUUGACUCAAUGGAAUGUACCCGCUAAAUCCGCCCAGGGCAGUUACCAUAUCCGUCGAGGGGAAUCCUUGACUUCGAGCUUUGCUUGAACAAUCCUGGCAUGACACGGGGGCAUCUACUCCAGUUGAAAAAGCCUGAUGGACGACACACGGUUUGCCUGGCGGAGCCAGGGGUAGAUUUUCUUUGAAUUUUGCGGCAGCUUGGUCCUCCGUUGGAACUGGACUGGCUCGAACUAUUGUCGUGCUCAAUUCAUUCGUGGCGUCACUCUAAGAAUAACCGAAGAAUUCCAAUUUGGCAAUACUGCUUAUUUAAAAAACGGAGGCAGUACACGAUCGUCACGAGGAAGUCUAUGAAGAUGAGCAACUGUACAACUAGGGGAAUCUGAAUCAGAUCUGAAAGACAGAAGAAACCAAGGGGGGUUACAUAUUGGAAGAGGAAUACAUUCAUGAUGCCUCAA